rnacentral:rRNA from 1 species
AACGGCCAUACCAUGCUGAAUAUACCAGUUCUCGUUAGAUCACCGAAGUCAAGCAUCCAUUGGGCGCGGUCAGUACUUGGGUGGGUGACCACCUGGGAACACUGCGUGCCGUU